rnacentral:pre_miRNA from 1 species
ACAACAACAUAAGUAUGUCCCAUGCAAUAUUUGGGACAUACUUAUUCUAAAA